rnacentral:rRNA from 1 species
GACGAACGCUGGCGGCGUGCCUAAUACAUGCAAGUCGAACGCAGUGGGGACGGGUGAGUAACACGUGGGUAACCUCCCAUCAGAGGGGAUAACACUUGGAAACAGGUGCUAAACCGAUACUGAUGGAUGGACCCCCGGUGCAUGAGCCAGUUGGUGCGGUAACGGCUCACCAAUGCCACGAUGCAUAGCGGACCUGAGAGGGGGAGCGGCCACACUGGAACGGAGACACGGCCCAUACUCCUACGGGAGGCAGCAGUGGGGAAUCUUCGACAAUGGACGAAAGUCUGACAGAGCGACGCCGCGUGAGUGAAGAAGGUUUGCGGAUCGUAAAACUCUGUUGUUAGAGACGCGUUAUCUAACCAGAAAGCCACGGCUAACUACGUGCCAGCAGCCGCAGUAAUAC